rnacentral:lncRNA from 1 species
CACCUUUUCACGCUCAGGCCGGGAUCCCGUCACCUUUUCCGAGCAGAGUGCCGUUUCCCUCUCAGCUGCUGUGACGCUCGGUAAAACUCAGACGCCUCAACCUUUUAACGCUACGGCCGCGGCUCCACCUCGCUCCUGCACGGCGCGGUCUGCAGUCGCGCGCCGGGCCUUCCCUCUCACCUCAGGCCUCCGAGGGAGCGCAGCUCCCCACGGCCGCACCUCACGGCGCAGCGCCGCGGCCACCCGCGGGAAGGAGGGCGGUCCCCGAGCGCGGGUACCGCCUUGGGGCGGAGCCAACGGCCACCGCGGAGAGCGGCGGCGCCCCUCGGGCCGCGGGGAGGAGUUCCGAGACGCGCGGAGCGGCGCGCAGAGCUGCGGCCGGACUCCGUGAGAGGGCGCGCGGUGCCCGGAAGCAGCGGCCCCAACCACCGCCCCUUCCCGCCCCCACACGUGUGAGGCGGCCGCACGGCGUCAGCGCGCGCGUCUCCCCGCCCCCACCGAGGGCCAACCGCCGGGGCGCGCGCCCGGGGGCGGUCUCGGCCGCGGAGCUCGCGAGAGGACAUCAUGUCCGCGGCGGCGUCGGGCGAGGAAAUGUGCUGAAAGCAGACACUACAAGAGGAUACUACAAGUGGAGGAUCCAAACUAAUCACUUGUGAAAGUCAAUUGCUCCUUUGAUGGAAGAGAACCCGAGGUGCGACUUGGCUGGCUGGCUUCUAGAGGGUUUUGA